CUUGUGUGCCUUGGCCCAUUGUCGUCGACUGAAUCUCCUCGCCUCUCAACUUUCGCACUCGCAGUCUCAACUCUCGACUCAAUCUCUCUCAGACUCGCAUUUUGCAGACUCACGCUCUCUUGGCUUCAUUUGCGUUUGGCUUUGUUUGCGAAUUCGCUGUCUCACUGUGACAGAAAAAGUGAAAGGAACUGAUCUACUCAACUGGGGAAUGUUUAUGUUCAGAUCUUUAUACUAAAGUUGAUGCAUUGGUGGAGGAGGAGGUUGGUGGAAACUCUGUAGCUGAUAUAUUCAAGCAACAUGGUGAGACUUUCUUUCAUAAUAAGGAGAACAGUGAAGCCAUGAUUUCAAUUGACAUGCCGGCCGGUCCAUCUGAAGUUUUGGUCAUUGCAGACAAGCAUGCAAUUCCUUCUCAUGUAGCUGCUGAUUUGCUUUCCCAGGUUUAAUAAGUUUUAAAAUACUUCUAUUUUCUUUACAAACACUAUCCACUAUUCACAUUCAUAAUGAGAACUGGUAAUCUUUCUUUGUCACCCUCUUAGAAACAAAAUUCAUGUUCUAGUGUAAUUUAUACAUUAUUCUAAAAUUCUUUUAUUUGUAGUUUCUACAUUAUGAUGUUAGUUUUCCAAAAUUCAAUAUAGGAUGAACUCAUAAUUUGCGCAGCAUGUAGGAAAUGUGAAUUAAUUGAAGAUUAAUCACUAUAUCUGGAAGCAACCAAAUUUGUAAACUGAGGAUAUGGAGUAUAGAAGCAUUUGUUUGUUUAGAAUCUGAUUAUGAUUCAGCCGUUCUCUUAGUUGACAAGGAAUGUGCAAAUACACUACACUAGAGAAAACGAACUGGAACACCUUUCUUCAAAUAAGGCUCAAAAUCUGCAAAAACUUAAAAGCACAGAUAAACCCCAACUGACAGAACCACUACAAAAAAGAGUACAAGACCUAAAACCUGCUAAAAAUCCAUUUUCAUUUGUUAUUUAUAAGAUAAACUAUCUUAGUUAAGUUUUAAAAUCCAAUUUGAAAACCAUUUAAAAAAAAUUAGAAACCAAUUCAAAACCAAUUUGGCUCUGAAAACAAUUUUAAAUUAGUUUAAAACCAGUUCAGAACCGGUUCAGCUCUGAAAACAAUUAUAAACUGGUUCAAAACUAAUUUAGUUUAGAACCUGUUCAGAACUAGUUUCAAACCAGAUCGCAAAUCAGUUGCAGAGUCAGGUUAAAAACCGAACUGGUUGUUCGGUUUGGUUUUUUUCCAAACCAGUUUUUGCACAGCCCUACUCCCUCCUCUCAUCAUUAUAAUUGUCGGGCAAGAUAAUUGUCAUUUUAGUUCUUCAAAGUAACAUUAAUUACUCUUUUCCACAUAUAUCUCAUAUAAGAUCAAUGAUGGACUACAAAAUCUAUUAAUGUAUUAAUAAUUAUACAAGGUUAAUUUCAAAAAAUUACUAAGUUUCAUUCGUCUAUUUAUUACUUUUUCUUGAUCUGCGGGGAAAAACUAGGCUAGGAUGACUAUUUUGGGACGGAGGGAGUACUUCAUUUCAUCGAACACGUGGUGUGCGACGAGAUGAAUCGCUGUAAUAAUAAUCAUGACAUUGAUAAUAAGAUGAGUGGUGGUGGCGUACCGU